AGUGAACGCUGGCGGUAGGCCUAACACAUGCAAGUCGAACGGGAGCACAGUAAGAGCUUGCUCUUACGGGUGGCGAGUGGCGGACGGGGGAGGAAUACAUCGGAAUCUACUUUUUCGUGGGGGAUAACGUAGGGAAACUUACGCUAAUACCGCAUACGACCUACGGGUGAAAGCAGGGGAUCUUCGGACCUUGCGCGAUUGAAUGAGCCGAUGUCGGAUUUGCUAGUUGGCGGGGUAAAGGCCCACCAAGGCGACGAUCCGUAGCUGGUCUGAGAGGAGGAUAGGCGACAGUGGAACUGGAACACCGUCCAGACUCCUACGGGAGGCAGCAGUAGGGAAUAUUGGACGAUAGGAGCAGGCCUGAUCCAGCAAUGCCGCGUGGGUGAAGAAGGCCUUCGGGUGGUAAAGCCGUUUUGUUGGGAAAGAAAAGCAGCAGGUUAAUACCACGAUGUUCUGACGGUACCCGAAGAAUAAGCACCGGCUAACUUCGUG
rnacentral:rRNA from 1 species